ACUCAAAUGAAUUGACGGGGGCCCGCACAAGCAGUGGAGUAUGUGGUUUAAUUCGAAGCAACGCGAAGAACCUUACCAGGGCUUGACAUCCCUUGACGAAUGUAGAGAUACAUUUUCCCUUCGGGGCAAGGAGACAGGUGGUGCAUGGUUGUCGUCAGCUCGUGUCGUGAGAUGUUGGGUUAAGUCCCGCAACGAGCGCAACCCCUGUUGCUAGUUGCCAUCAUUAAGUUGGGCACUCUAGCGAGACUGCCGGUGACAAAUCGGAGGAAGGUGGGGACGACGUCAAAUCAUCAUGCCCCUUAUGUCCUGGGCAACACACGUACUACAAUGGCUAUUACAGCAGGAAGCGAAAUCGUAAGGUGGAGCAAAUCCUCAAAAAUAGUCCCAGUUCAGAUUGUGGGCUGAAACUCGCCCACAUGAAGUCGGAAUUGCUAGUAAUGGCAGGUCAGCAUACUGCCGUGAAUACGUUCCCGGGCCUUGUACACACCGCCCGU
rnacentral:rRNA from 1 species